rnacentral:rRNA from 1 species
UACAGAGGCCCCGAGCGUUAGGCGGAAUCACUGGGCUUAAAGCGUGUGUAGGUGGAUGCCUAAGUACCUUGUGAAAUCCCACGGCUUAACCGUGGAAUUGCUGGGUAUACUGGGUGUCUUGAGCCACUCAGGGGCUACCGGAACAAAUGGUGGAGCGGUGAAAUGCGUAGAUAUCAUUUGGAACGCCAAUGGUGAAAACAGGUAGCUGGGGGUGUGCUGACACUGAGACACGAAAGCCAGGGGAGCAAACGGG